ncrna:unclassified sequences skipping-rope RNA
GUGUUUUGAAGUAGAGAUCGUGCUGCUACACACCCUUGUGGUCAAAAGAAAUGUGGGAAGGGGCACACCCACCAAAAUGC